UGAACUCUUCCUCCGACUCCAUGCGCAGCGGCAACUUCCUGUGUGGACAGGAAACAGGAAGCAAGCAGCGCUGCGGUGCUGGACUGUGAUGGUGUCCAUGCGGUUGCGAUACAUCUCACAGUCCUUUUGCAGCGUGGAGGACUUCAGCUCCAGAUCCUCCUUCUCCUCCAGCUCAAAGAUCUGCUCUCUCCUUGGCCGGCUCUCGAUGUCGUUCUUCAGCUUGAGACUCUGCCUCCUCUCCAUCUUGCACUCUUCCUCCAACUUGUUCAGCCUGUGCUUCAGCUGAUCCGCCUACACAGCGCAUAUGGUGAAUGAAUAGUGAGAUAUAGAUACGAGCAUGCAGCAAAACACUGAGCCGUACACACCCCCUAUUAUAUGCCACACACAUUUUCAGCAUUAAUUAUCAUUUCUUAUGUUUGCAAAUGCAUAAUGAAUUGACAAUGUUCCCAUGCAUGGUGUCCAUCAGUACCUCUAGCUGCAGGUCUCGGCCCCUCAUCACAGCCAUGUUCUUCUCCUCACUCAGCGUGGCGUACCUCAUGGCCAGUUUGUAGUUCUCGUCCUUCACUCGCAGCAGCUCGUCACUGUAGCUGUUCCUCUCUUCUUUCAACUUAUUGUACCCUGGAGAACCCAUUUAUAUGACACAUGAGUGUGUUGUCCAGGUCUAGUAGGUGGUAACAAAGCUGUCAGUUUUAGCAAUCAUUGCAAAAUGGAUAGAAAUGAUACGCUGAGGUGGAUAUGGAUUACCUUUUAAAUAAACGCAUUGUGAAAUAAGUAAUCGUAUGAUUAAACAAGCUUAACAACCGCCACCGAAUUUAGCCAGGCUUCUGUUAGCUGGAGAAACAAUGUCAACGUAGGUCUGCAGCAACUACUAUGAAUAAACAGCCAGUAAACUAACCUUCUUUAGCUUUCUAGCCUUCGCUUAACAAGGCUCCAUAUUUUACAUCUAGCUCCUGCUGACUUGAGCUAGCACAGAGAAAUACACUUUCUGUCUUUUUGAUCUUUGUUUCAAGCCUUCAGUCAUUUAAUAAACGGCUGCACAUCCGCUAUUUCUAAUGAAUGUGUCUUCCAUUGUGAUAUGUUGAAUUAAAUGAAUACCCACAAAGGAAGGCCAGGACAAAAAAUUCCACGUUUCUGGAGGGUCGGGUGUGUUUUUUUGUUAUCAGAUGGUACUAUUUUGCCAAGAAAUGUACAAUAAAGAUGCAGGGUAAAACCAUCAUGUGCGGUCGCGUAGGAGUUUCAGUAUAAAUGGUGGGAGGUUUUUGGUUUGGAUUUAAUGCUCACCAUUUCACUUAUUAAGACUUGCAUGACAUUAUUGGAACAUGUCGAAAAUAAUAAUGUGUAGCUUUACUCUGUUGGAUGGCCUGAAGCUCCUGAUUGGCCACCCGUAGCUUCUUCUGCUCGUCCUCCAGGGUGCAGUUCUUCCUGCUGAGCUCGGCCGUCUGCAGGGUCUUGACGUUGGACUGCUGCUGCAGCUUCAUCACUUCGUUCAUCAGGAACUGGGUCAGACCCUCGUGACCCUCUUCCACUGCAAUGAGGGGAAAAAAGACGGCAGAGAGGAGAAAGAAAAUAAUGUCGUAAUGUAACAGGAAUGCAUUACAAAAUGAUUUGGAUAGGUGUCAAAUUCUACUGUAAACCAGCAGAACACGAUCUAUGUCUGUUCUUCCUGGAACAGAGCUACAAAACCAGCUCUGCAUCUAACAGUUGAUUGUGUGUUUUUUUCCCUAACUGUAAUGGUUUCAGUUUCCCUAUAAUAAAUCAGAUCUUUUCUUCA